AUUGAACGCUGGCGGCAUGCCUUACACAUGCAAGUCGAACGGUAACGGGCCUUCGGGUGCCGACGAGUGGCGAACGGGUGAGUAAUGCAUCGGAACGUACCUUUCAGUGGGGGAUAACGUAGCGAAAGUUACGCUAAUACCGCAUAUUCUGUGAGCAGGGAAGCAGGGGAUCGCAAGACCUUGCGCUGAUUGAGCGGCCGAUGUCAGAUUAGUUAGUUGGUGAGGUAAAGGCUCACCAAGGCGACGAUCUGUAGCGGGUCUGAGAGGAUGAUCCGCCACACUGGAACUGAGCAACGGUCCAGGAUCCUACGGGAGGCAGAAGUGGGGAAUUUUGGACAAUGGGGGCAACCCUGAUCCAGCCAUGCCGCGUGAGUGAGGAAGGCCUUCGGGUUGUAAAGCUCUUUCGGUCGGGAAGAAAUCGCAUGGGUUAAUACCCUGUGCGGAUGACGGUACCGGCAUAAGAAGCACCGGCUAACUACGUGCCAGCCGCCGCAGUAA
rnacentral:rRNA from 1 species